rnacentral:lncRNA from 1 species
CUGGCUUUUGUUAAUACCUUACAGCCUAUUUAAUUCAUUCAGGGAAGAGGUGUUGCCUGUGUGCCUGGGAGUGCAGAAAGCCCAGUCCAGCUGGGGAGGGAGCUGUUCCAGUUGUCCUGGGUACUCUGAGGGAACACGGGGCAUUCCUUCCUGGGUAGGCACUUGGCUGUCGAGGUGACAUUUAAGCUGUCACCGUGUGUAAGGAGAGGAAGCAGGUUCCCAGGCUAGGGGUCAAAUCGGAACUAUAGCUGCCGGCCUAAGCCACAGCCACAGUCACACAGGAUCUGAGCCACAUCUGCAACCUACACCACAGUUCACGAUAGUGCUGGAUCCUUAACCCACUGAGCAAGAUCGAACCCACAACCUCAUGGUUCCUAGUCAGAUUGGUUUCCACUGCGCCACAUGGGAACUCCUGAAAUAGCUUUUGAUUAAACAAACUAAUGGUUGGGUGGGUUAGUAUCAUUGCCACUCAGGAUAAGGCUGGAAUUAUUCUUGAGAAGUGACAGAUCAGAGCAGGGUGGUUUACUAGAACUGAGUUUAUAUCAGGAGCUGACAGGUACAUUAAAUGGCCUUGGGUCUGCCCAAGGGAAGGCUCCAGCCGAUGGUCUGGAGUCUCAGGCCUGGACUGGGAGGCAGGAAGCCCCAGGGUCACCUCCUUUCCCUUCUCCUCUGGGGCGGAAACCAGAGAGGGAAGAUCCCACCCAGAAAAGCUUUGUGCCUGACCUGCAUCACUUCCAGCUCCACCAUGUUUAAAAAAAGUCACACACAACUAAUUAAGUAUUUCACGGAAAGUUUGCAGUGUUGAUCUCAGUGUUUCAGCCUGUGAGAAACAGUAGACUUCUCUGCUUUUGAAAACAGUACUUUCUGAUUAAAUUUGGAACACAAAAGAUUGAAGGGUAAGAAUAAAAAUCACCCCAACUUCUAAUAAGCAAGAAAUACUCACUGUUGAAGCUUGAGCACCUUUUCCUUCUUGGCGUAACCCUGCAUUAUCCCACUGUUCACAGAAGGCCGAGUCAGAACCCCUGACGCGGAAAAGCUAGCCGUAGACAGGGAAGAAUGAGAGACUUCCUAAAACAGAGCCCCUCGGGGCUUUAUUUCAAGGUGUCCGUGGGAAAGAUGUGGUCCCCCCCGGAUGGUGGAUGGCACUGUGGCGUGAGGGCAGGCGGAGCGCUGCCCGGAGUCAGAGGGCCUGGUGAUGCCCUUGGGCCAGGCACUUGCCCUCCAGUGGGGCUGCUCAUCCCCCUCCGCCCACCUCCUGGCUGCCACAGGGCUCGGGUAAGGUUCCAGGAUGGAAAGCCCUGGCCCCUCAGGGGGGCCUGUUUCUUUUUGGAGGGAGAG